AUGGAGGCAAUCUCCACAUCUGGUCUUAGAUUGACAGAACUGAAUCUCUACGACAUAACGUUGUCAUGUGGAUCACAUGGGCCUCCAGCCCUCCCAGGUUUAGGCUGCAGACAAGUAGUUAAUGAACAGGUCAAGUGCCUGGAGCACCCUUCUAAGACUGCAUUCAGUCAUUACCAAGGCUCCAAGAAGGCAGGACAUGCCACCUGUAUGUCCUGAAUCAUCUGCUGUGAUGCUUAGUAUGUAGCAAAAACUCAAAUAUUUGAUAAAUCAAUGAACAAAAACAAUCACUGAGCAAUUAUUAGGCCCAAGUCUAUGAUCCCCAAGCUGAUACUUCGAUUUUAUGAAGUCAAUUCAAAAUUCUUAGCUGCCAUGAGGAAAUUUGAGUAAUGUCUCUUGGUGAGUCACUAUCCCUUCUUCCAUUUCUCUCUGUUUAAAAGUGGCUUCUCGGGAUCCUUGGGUGGCGCAGCAGUUUGGCGCCUGCCUUUGGCCCAGGGCGCGAUCCUGGAGACCCGGGAUUGAAUCCCACGUCGGGUUCCCGGUGCAUGGAGCCUGCUUCUCCCUCUGCCUGUGUCUCUGCCUCUCUCCCUCUCUC
rnacentral:lncRNA from 1 species